rnacentral:rRNA from 1 species
UACGUAGGGUGCGAGCGUUGUCCGGAAUUAUUGGGCGUAAAGAGCUCGUAGGCGGCCUGUCGCGUCGGAUGUGAAAACUCGGGGCUCAACCCCGAGCCUGCAUUCGAUACGGGCAGACUAGAGUUCGGUAGGGGAGACUGGAAUUCCUGGUGUAGCGGUGAAAUGCUCAGAUAUCAGGAGGAACACCGGUGGCGAAGGCGGGUCUCUGGGCCGAUACUGACGCUGAGGAGCGAAAGCGUGGGGAGCGAACAGG